rnacentral:rRNA from 1 species
UACGUAGGGUGCAAGCGUUGUCCGGAAUUAUUGGGCGUAAAGAGCUCGUAGGCGGUCUGUCGCGUCGGCUGUGAAAACCCGAGGCUCAACCUCGGGCCUGCAGUCGAUACGGGCAAACUAGAGUACUGCAGGGGAGACUGGAAUUCCUGGUGUAGCGGUGAAAUGCGCAGAUAUCAGGAGGAACACCGGUGGCGAAGGCGGGUCUCUGGGCAGUAACUGACGCUGAGGAGCGAAAGCCGUGGGGAGCGAACAGG